ACACCCAACUUCUGAACGUUGACCUCGAAUCAGGUAGGACUACCCGCUGAACUUAAGCAUAUCAAUAAGCGGAGGAA
rnacentral:rRNA from 1 species